UCAAAUAUUUAUAAUUUUUUACAAAUUUAAAUUUUCUUAUGUCCUAUCAAAUCAUGCCGCCUGGCACUAGUUUACUAUAGAAAAAUGUUAAUUUUUUUUUUAUUCGGUUCUAGUUCUGAAAAAGGUACUAAACCAGAACCUGAAAAUCAAACCAAAACUAUUUUUCGAAACGAGUUUCGUCCUGCCUUUGCCUUGGCUUAAAGGUAACUAUAUUAUUACGUUUUUAUAAUGUUCGGCUCUCAAAAGGAUUUUAUACUUUUUUUUUCAUUUCGCGCCUAAACUAUCCCUACUUAAUUGAUAAGUUUUUUUUAAUAAUAAUCCUUAUAAAUAAUGUCAUAUGACUUAGUUUUCUCUUAAAUGUAGAGUAUUCUUGAAGAAUUUUGAAAUACAACAAAUAUAUAUUAAAAAAUAAAGUUUUUGGAUUUCCAGUCUACAAUAUUAUGGUAUAAUUGUAUAUUUAUAUUCCCGAAGUUUAUCAUUUUGUUAUUUUACGAUAAUCAUAAUUAUAGUUUUCAUUGUAAUUAAUAGUUGUAAUCGGAAUUGUCAUUAUAACUACUAUUAAAAUUGAGUAAUCCAUCUAUUAGAUGGUAAAUAAGUAAUUUUAUAAAUUAUAAAAUUAAUAUCUAAUAGAUGAGUGACCCACAGUAGUUGGGCCUCAAAUUGAAACAGAAAUGUUAUCAUCACUUGUAUUUUUGUAUGUGUUUUUUUAAUACAACUGUAAUAAUAAUUAUUCUAUUUAAUUGUUAAAACAAACAAUCUCGUACUUUUAUUAAAAUCAUUUGGAAUUCAACUACUCAAAUAAUGCGUCAAUUAUCAAGCAAGAAAAGAGACGUCAGAUCGUUGACUCAUUUAUUAAUAUAAUGACAUGUCGUUUUUAAUCAAGACAUAAAAAGAUGAGUCAUCUAGUGUAUGUGUUGGUGCAUACUAUUUAUGCAUGUCGGUUGUGUGAAUGAUAUAAAAGAGAUGUCGUUUGUUUUAUUCUCUCAACUCUCAAGGAUGACACAAUGAUUGUAAUCAAAAUAAUAAACAAUGGACGAUCUAAAAUCUAUGUGUCAAUUAUAAUAUUU
rnacentral:lncRNA from 1 species